GAGAGAGAGAGAGAGAGAGAGAGAGAGAGAGAGAGAGAGAGAGAGAGAGAGAGAGAGAAGAGAUGGAGAUGGUCGAUCGAGAGAGAGAUCUGAUUUCUAGGGUUUUGCCGAUUGAUUCCUUGUCUGCUUUCGGUCCUAUCAACAAGCGAUUUAGGAACAGACAGUGGAUGAUUUAUAAGGCUUCAAGGCUUAGUUUCAAUUUCUUCUGUCCAGAGCUCCUACAGAGCUUGUGGUCAUGACCAUAGAAGGCGUUCGUGAGCAGUGGAGUCGUUUCUGAGAAAAUGUGGUGGUCAUGAGCAUAGGCGGCAGCGGCGGUCGCGAGCAGAGGAGGCGGAGAAGAAGACGCCCCGGAGAUGGAGGCGGAGAACACGCACCGGAGAUGGAGGCGGCUUGGUUUGAUUAUUAGGUUUUCUGGUUUUGGUUAAUUUGGUUUAGUUUUCUGGUUGUAUGUUUAGAUUAGUAAACCAAGUCUGGUUUAAUUUUUCUUGUUGGUUUAAUAUUGUAAAACCAGUUUUGUUUGUAUACUGAUUUUAUUUAUAAUAAAUAUUUAUUUUAAUUAUAA